AGUGGCAGACGGGUGAGUAACGCGUGGGAACCUUCCCUGUGGUACGGAAUAACUUCCGGAAACGGAAGCUAAUACCGUAUAUCCCCUCCGGGGGAAAGAUUUAUCGCCAUGGAUGGGCCCGCGUUGAUUACCUAGUGGGUGGGUUAAUGGCCUCCCAAAGGAAACGAUCCAUAGCUGGUCUGAGAGGAUGAUCAGCCACACUGGGACUGAGACACGGCCCAGACUCCUACGGGAGGCAGCAGUGGGGAAUAUUGGACAAUGGGCGCAAGCCUGAUCCAGCCAUGCCGCGUGAGUGAAGAAGGCCUUAGGGUUGUAAAGCUCUUUUGGCGGGGACGAUAAUGACGGUACCCGCAGAAUAAGCCCCGGCUAACUUCGUGCCAGCAGCCGCGGUAAUACGAAGGGGGCUAGCGUUGUUCGGAAUCACUGGGCGUAAAGCGCACGCAGGCGGAUUGAUAAGUCAGGGGUGAAAUCCCGGGGCUCAACCUCGGAAUUGCCUUUGA
rnacentral:rRNA from 1 species